UGAACGCUAGCGACAGGCUAACACAUGCAAGUCGAGGGGCAUCACGGGAGUAGCAAUACAACUGGUGGCGACCGGCGCACGGGUGAGUAACGCGUAUGCAACCUACCUAUCAGAGGGGAAUAACCCGGCGAAAGUCGGACUAAUACCGCAUAAAACAGGGGCACCGCAUGGUGAUAUUGUUAAAGAAAUUCGCUGAUAGAUGGGCAUGCGUUCCAUUAGGUAGUUGGUGAGGUAACGGCUCACCAAGCCGACGAUGGAUAGGGAACUGAGAGGUUGGUCCCCCACACUGGUACUGAGACACGGACCAGACUCCUACGGGAGGCAGCAGUGAGGAAUAUUGGUCAAUGGGCGGGAGCCUGAACCAGCCAAGUCGCGUGAAGGAAGAAGGAUCUAUGGUUCGUAAACUUCUUUUGCAGGGGAAUAAAGUGCAGGACGUGUCCUGUUUUGUAUGUACCCUGAGAAUAAGGAUCGGCUAACUCCGUGCCAGCCGCCGC
rnacentral:rRNA from 1 species